AAGCUUGUCUAAGCCCCAAGUGUCUGUGCAUUUAUCUAGCACAUGACAGUGUGGUGUUUUUGGAGAUUUUAUUUUUAAUAUUUUUGUGUUUCUUACAGAAAAAUAUUACUCAGUUGCACUAGUGUAGACUAUAUCCUGACAUUUCCCAUUCAUGAAGUUUCUUAUCUGGUGAACUAGGAAUUUAUCUUGUCUUCAAAAAUUGGCUACAUUACAGUAGUGUAACGGCAGGAUUCAAUCAUGGCAGAGAGGUUCGCUUUCAACGACUUAGCAAUUCAUCAUGUUGAUCCCUGCCUGCCCGUGGGUUUAGGUGAGUCGACUAAGACUUUAUAUUUAUUGGCGUCAAUGAUAUAAUUUCAUAAAAAUAUAAAGUAGUAAAUUUUGAUUGUAUUAAUUAAUUCCAAACAGAUGGAAUUGUAUAUUUAAAAAAGAUGUUCGCCUAAGUUUGCAGCAUGGAACAUUCUGCAAUUUCAAAUUUUUUGUCUUGCAUAUGUCCAAAGACAUAA